rnacentral:lncRNA from 1 species
UAUAAUGCCACAUGUCGCUAUCAUACAGAACUGUACGUAUGGACGUACUCCUCCCUCUCUCCAUCGUCAGGCGACUAUUUAAUUUCCUCCAGCGCUCGUGUUGACAGGGUCAUAGGUGUAGAUGGGUCUGUUCCCCCACUGACCCAUCAAGUCAGGUGAGCUGGAUCCCUCUUUAGUGAGCCCGGGCCCCAGUCUGCCCGGCCUGCUCGAAC